GCCCUCCUUGUCAGAGCCUGGGAACAAGCUGAAGUGUCUGAACCAAAGUGACCAGGCAAUGAGUUCCCUUCUGUAACUCAUAGGAAUACACAUCUUUGUAAUCAGCACAAUUCAAUCAACUUCCACUAUCGUUGUUCUUUAAGUGACCACUCUGGGUGAGCUGUACUAGUUGUGAAGACUAUUUACGUCUAGACUCCAGCCUCUGAGAAAAAAAUAAAAGAUUACGAUAAUGUACUUAUGAAGAUGAAUGAAUCCAUUUCUUCUAUUUGAUAUGAAACUCCUUAAAGUUCUGCAGCCUCCUUUUUGCUUAUUCAACGCUCCACUCCUUUUUAUGAAGUGCUGGGCACUGUGGAUAUCUUGAGGAUACAAAGGGAGAAGGCAUCAGGUUGGCUAAGCUUAGGCCAUGUGUCCACCAUUGGCCAGAGGAAGAUAGGUACCACUAUUGACUAUAUCCUGUAAAAAAGAAGUGUUUAUCCAAACCACAUUUGGAAUGCUGUGAUCACAAAAAGGGAGAAAAGAUACUGAGCUGCCAAAAUAAAAUUGUCCACUAUAGGAGUCAGUCUUCUUGCUGGAUGAGUUCUCAGAGUCCCAGUCUUGUGGAUUCCUAGUCUAUACCUUUCUCUGUGCUUAACUGAAUGAAGUUUCAGCAUGCCUUCUAAUUGGUUCCACAUGGUUUCCAAAGCUCUCAAUAUAUGAAUACCAGGAGUCUUUGAAAUAUAAUUCUCCAAUAAGAAGUAAGCAUAAAUAAUGGAAAAGAAUCUAUUUUUCUCCAGAAUGGUAGAUUUUUAGAUACUAGAAAUGUAAAUAACAAUGAGAACCCACAAAGAAACCUCUUUUUUAUUUAAAAAAAAAAAAAAAACCACAACCCUGUAUAGUCAUAUCAUUUAGAGCAACACCUUAAGGAAAAAAAGUCAU